GACGAACGCUGGCGGCGUGCUUAACACAUGCAAGUCGAACGGAAAGGCCCUGCUUUUGUGGGGUGCUCGAGUGGCGAACGGGUGAGUAACACGUGAGUAACCUGCCCUUGACUUUGGGAUAACUUCAGGAAACUGGGGCUAAUAUCGGAUAGGAGCUCCUGCAGCAUGGUGGGGGUUGGAAAGUUUCGGCGGUUGGGGAUGGACUCGCGGCUUAUCAGCUUGUUGGUGGGGUAGUGGCUUACCAAGGCUUUGGCGGGUAGCCGGCCUGAGAGGGUGGCCGGCCACAUUGGGACUAAGAUACGGCCCAGACUCCUACGGGAGGCAGCAGUGGGGAAUAUUGCACAGUGGGCGGAAGCCUGAUGCAGCAACGCCGCGUGCGGGAUGACGGCCUUCGGGUUGUGAACCGCUUUCGCCUGUGACGAAGCGUGAGUGACGGUAAUGGGUAAAGAAGCACCGGCUAACUACGUG
rnacentral:rRNA from 1 species